GAUUCGGUGGCCUAAAUGGUUAGAGUAUCAGCCUCGGAUGCGGGUGGCCGCGGGUUCAAACCCAAGCCGAAUCA